GAAAAAAUGUUGAAGGUUCUAAGUACAUGCUACUCUACUUAUAAGAGAGGGAUUUCCGUUGGCUGAGAGGAAUCCCACUUGAAAGAGUCAUGGAAAGCUAAACUGGAGUAUGGUUAAUACCCAUCGGUUUCAAACCGUUACCAUGAUUAAGUGAUGAACAAUUGAUUGUUGUUGUUCAUAAUUAGGGUGGUACCGCGAUAAAAUCUCGUCCCUGCA
rnacentral:ncRNA from 1 species